rnacentral:lncRNA from 10 species
UUUAGAGUAGCUUGCACUGCUCUCAUGAAUGCUCUGCUGUCUCUCCAAACCUUCAAUAAAGUUUCUAAAAUGCACAAAAACCUAGUGUGAGUGCUGGGGGAGAUCCAGGAAGAGGGCAGUGGUUUACUGAAGAACAGGGAUCAAACUCUAGAAUGGAGAUCUAACCUAAGCAAUGGUGAGCUGAUGAAUGGAAGAUGUUCCAUAGAGACUGAGGCUCAGAGUCAGUGGCCUGAAAAUGUAAACACAUUGGAAACUUAUGAAACCUUAGGGAGGGCAGUGGACUUGGGGGUAUAGCCAAUUUCAUCUAAAUCUUAGGGGACAUACAGACUCCAGUUCGACAUCUGCACUGCAACCUUAUCAUGGACGAUCAUAACUAUUGAAUAUUCUUUCUGAACAAGCAAAAUGUGUUGGUGGAUUUUACAAGAUUAAACAUGAGUGACGCAAGCCCUCAAUGAUUUGGUUUGGAGAUUUAGUAGGCUGGAGGGAGAACGCAGAUCUUAAUACAGCAUUACAUAGACACAGUUUACAUCAGCCAUUAUAGGGCAGGCUGCCCAGCAGCGAGUCAUUAGUUUAAAUUGUCUGCUGAAGAACAUCUCUGGGACUUUUCUGGUCCCUUUGCUCAUGAGUAAUUCUUUCCUAGAAAACUUUUUCCAACCCCUAAAUGUUCCUCCUGAUCUAGAAGAAUGAUGUGACCCAACUGAGAAGGCUGCCACAAAGCAAGGAGGCAAGAGACCUGCCCUCACUGCCUGUCCUGCAGUCACUGGGAGGGUUUGUAACCUUCACUAGGGUCAGGCUGGGGAGGGCAGGAAGCUAGAGCCCUGAGCACACUUCUGUGCUGGGAUAAAAAUGGAAGCUCAGGGGCUUGGCUAAGGCCCCACCCCUGGUCUCUCCACAUUUUCACCACAGAGACUGAUGAGACAUUUCCUCUUAUUCAUUUGUGUAAGUCAUAGACAAGAGGUGUGUGUACACACCCGUCUCUGAGCAUUUAGGAAAUUUUGGCUUACACUAGGAGAAGUAAGAGCGUUAACCAAAAUUUGUAAAAGUGCCUCAUUGAAAUCCUGUCAAAAAGAUAAUGAUUUUAAAGAGGGAAUAAAAUGAAAUGAUGGCUUUCUUGCAGCUAUUCAUAAUACGCAUUCUGCCAGGUUCCCCCUGCUUGCCCAAAGAAAAGGAGAAAUGAAAACACUAGGUUUGUAAAUUUUCUGCUUUUCUACAAUAAUUACUGGAUAUGCUGAAAGAUUGUAUGAAAUUCAUGAGUGUUUCUUGGCCUCUAUGCAUCCUAUAUUUCCUAUCUAUAAAUGUUAGCAAACAUUAAAGAGUUAGAGGUCCUUACAUGUAAAACAUUUAGAAGUGCUGCUCCAUGGUUGAAGAAUUUGGUGUGAGAUUGUGUGACAGAUUGUAUUUUUCAUAGAUGGCUACAACAAUAACUCCUGUUCCACAUAUUCUUAAGAUGUGACACUGGCACUUCUCCCACUGAAACGUGGGUUCUGUGUCUUCUCUGCCGCUGCUCCGAAACGGGGCAAGAUUUAUGACUGUUUUAACUAAUAAGAGCAUGGCAGAAGUGAGGAAUGUGACUUUCGAGGACAGGCCAUGAAAGAUGAUGCAGCAUCCUUUUUGUCUUUUGGAAUACUUGUUUUGGACCCUAAGCUAUUGUGUAAGAUGCCUGACUACCCUGCAGCUGUCAUGCUGGGAGGAAGCCCAGGCUGCAUGGAAAGGUUUGCUAUGGCUGAUAGCCCCAGCUGAGGUUCCUGCCAACAGCUAGAAUCAAACACCAGACAUGGGAGUGAAGACGCCUCCAGAUGAUUGUAGCUCCUAGCCAUUAAGUCUUGCCAACUGAGGUCCCACACAUCAUGGAGCAUAAGUAAGAGGUCUUUGCUGUGCCAGAUUCCUUACCUACAGAAUCUGAGUGUUAUAAUGUAGUUGCUUUACACCGCUAAGUUUUGGGCUGGUUUGUUACAUGGAAAUAUUAAUUGCAACAGAUAUAAAACCAGGAGCCCUGUUCACUCCCUGAGUUCUUCUAAGAUACUUUGUUGGAGAGUUAUAGAUUCUUGGAACACUAUUUGAAAACCUCUGGACUAACUACUCUUCAAUGGCUCCAAAAUCUCUGCUUGUAAUAAAACUAGAAUUUAAGAGCUUCAUCAGGAAAGAGAAGAAUCUCGCGUAGUGUUAUGGAUUGAAUUCUGUCCCCCUAAAAGAUGUUGAAGCCCUACUUCUCAGGACCUGUGAAUAUGACCUUAUUUGGAAACAUGGUCUUUGCAGAUUAUCAAGUUAAGAUGAAGUCAUUAGGGUGUAUGACUAUGUUCUUAUAAAAAGGGGACAUUUUGACACAGAGAUAGAUACACAUGGGGAGAAUGCCACAUGAAGAUAAAGGCAGAGAUGGAGGUAAUGCAUCUACAAGUCAAGGAUCAUCAAUGAUUGCCAGCAAACUACCAAAAAUGAGGAGAGAGGGACGGAACAAACUCUCCCUUACAGUCCUUGGAAGGAACCAACCCUGCUGCAAACAUCGUGCUUUAGAACUGAGACAAUAAAUCUGUUUAAGCCACCCAGUUUGUGGUACUUUGUCAUGGUAGCCCUAAGAAACUCUUGCACCUAGGAGUGAAUUUGAACAGAGAUGAUGGUCCCUCAUGUUCUAAGUCCCUCAGUUAAUGGAGUUAGGCCUUUUGAUUGAUUCAGUGUUUUUUUUAGAGCCAACUGGGUACAAGUCACAAGGGUAAGCACCACAGAGAAAUACAGAGAUAAACAAGUCUUGGUUUCUGCACUCACUGGGCCUCCAACUUUGGAAAGAAAGAUAUGAUAAGUCCUAAAACAACCAUAAUCCAAGUGGGCCCUAGAUUGGAUUUGGAUGGACGGACUGACAACAGAAAGGGCAUUUCUAUGAAUAUCCCAAUACUCUGUGUGCCCCGUCUGAUCAAAGUACAUAAAUAGAAAAUCCUGAAAUAGCAUACUGUAAGAAUUUGGACUUCACUUAACCCAAGUAAAUACAAGGAAGAUUUUUGUCUAAGACCCUCUCCACAAAGACAACUUGAGAGCCAGGUAAAUGGCUACAUCUGAACAAAAUAUUCAUAGCAGAUUUCAGAUUGUUUUCCUUCAGGUCCAAUUCCUGGAGGCUGAGUAGGCUGAACACAGCAUGAGGAAUACGC